CUGCUGGGACACAAGGCACAAUGAAUCGAUUUUCCAAUAGUUCUCUCACCUCUGCGCUGACUACAGCUUUGGAUGACUGCUGGGACAUAAAGGCACAAUGAAUCGGUCUCCAAUGGUUCUCUCACCUCUGCGCUGACUACAGCUUUGGAUGACUGCUGGGACACAAGGCACAAUGAAUCGAUUUUCCAAUAGUUCUCUCACCUCUGCGCUGACUACAG